UCCCCGUUACCGGGGCAGUCUGAAUAGAAAAAUACAACUAUUCACAAGGGUUGCGCUCGUUGAUGGACUUAACCAAACAUCUCACGACACGAGCUGACGACGGCCAUGCAACACCUGUCACUUGGUUCCAAAAGGCACACUCUGCUUUCACAGUGCUUCCAAGGAUGUCAAACCCUGGUAAGGUUCUUCGGUUAUCAUCGAAUUAAAGAACAUAAUCCACCGCUUGUGCUGAUCCCCGUCAAUUCCUUUAUGUUUUAGUCUUGCGACCGUACUCCACAGGCGGGAUGCUUAACGCGUUAGCUUCGCUACUGAAGGGGUCGAUACCUCCAACAGCUAGCAUCCAUAGUUUACGGCGUGGACUAC
rnacentral:misc_RNA from 1 species